AUUGCACGCUGGCGGCAUGCUUUACACAUGCAAGUCGGACGAGUGGCGAACGGGUGAGUAACGCAUCGGAACGUACCUAGUAAUGGGGGAUAACUGUCCGAAAGGACAGCUAAUACCGCAUACUAUUCGAGCAGCCGAAGUGGUAUUAGCUGGUUGGCGGGGUAACGGCCCACCAAGGCGACGAUCAGUAGCGGGUCUGAGAGGAUGAUCAGCCACACUGGGACUGAGACACGGCCCAGACUCCUACGGGAGGCAGCAGUGGGGAAUAGUGGACAAUGGGCGCAAGCCUGAUCCAGCCAUGCCGCGUGUAUGAAGAAGGCCUUCGGGUUGUAAAGGACUUUUGGCAGGGAAGCGGUACCGGAAUAAAAAGCAACGGCUAACUACGUGCCAGCAGCCGCGGUAAUUC
rnacentral:rRNA from 1 species